UGUAUACAUUUUUUGUACUCUAAGAAAGAGAGACUGUUUUAUGUUUUUGUAGGUAAACAAACAAAAGAGAAAAUUCUUGGCGUUUAUAAUACACUUUUGGUCGUUUUAAAAAUAUGGAUAAUUAAAAGAGCAUUGACGUAUCGCGUUCUUUAUUACUUUCAAGUUAUGUACUUUCCAUGAAGUAUGCUGUGUAUAGUAUGUGAUAUUAAUUGUACGUAGAUAUUUUUUAAAAACACAAAGCCACUGUCAAUGUUACAAUUAAUCACGAAUAAGUGAGUAUGGUUUUAAUACCAAAGAAUAAUAUUAAACUUAAGAAAUAACGAAUAAAAAUGCAACUGAUAACAUUUUUUUUUAAUUUUUCCAUCAUGAGCUAAUAUUAAAGCAAAAGCUACACAGACUGCCUCAGAGCUUUUCUAGCGUAUUAGUGACGUUUAAUUAUAACUUAAACUACUAAAAAUACAGAUUAUAAGUAUUUUAAUCCUGUGUCUCUAAACUAGACUGCUGUUUGAGUCAUUUUUUUCAUAAUGAUUAAUGGUCAAGAAAAUCGAAGAAACACUGAAAAGGUCAAAAAUAUCACGGCUGUGUUUAUUUUUACUCGAUUACAAUGUCUGAAAGAAAUAGCCUUUAAAGUAAUAUUCAAGCGUUUACAAUUAUCAUAUACACGCAAGAAUACCGCAGAAUGAGUAAAUUGUAAAUAAUCAUUGGUGAGCGAAUUUGUUUUACCAUAGACUUAUUUUACAGGCGAUGGUAUUUUCAAAUGCAUAUUUAUUAUGACCUUAUUAACCAAUUAACCAAUGUUGUGCACACUAACUUUCUCUUGAUGACUAAUAGCUUUAAUCAAUAUGAUACAGCAUUUCAAAUAGUAGUUACACCAUUAGCACACCUUAUCUAGGUUUUUUAUCAGAUCAUGUCUGCGAUAAGAGCUUUCAUGGUAUUCAAGCACCUUCUCACGCUUUAGAAAAUCUCUUCUUUCAACUUUUUCGAACACGGAUACCUGUGGAUUCAUCUGCAGUAUCUUUAGAACUGAGGACCUCAUCUGCUUGGACUUCCAUACCAAGAAUAUGAUGAUUGUUAUCGUUAAAUUUGCAUCGCAUACAGGCAACAAUGCUAGCCAUGGUCAACUUUCUCAUAUCCGUACGAAACAACAAUAUAUACGAUGUACUGGACGUCAACAACCAAGAAACCUGGGUGGUAUUAAAUGACAAGCGGGAUUCUAGUAUGCGUCUAGCAACGAUGCCAACUCCAAGUCUCUUUAACUGGGUAAUUUAAGUAUGACGAAUACCAAUGAUAAAAAGUAUGUUAACCUUUAUAAGACAAUCGUACAACAUUUACACUAAAAGUAUGGGUUCUAAGAAAUGAUUUGUUUCGAGUGAGAACUUUCCAAUACAGCCUUUAUUGGACUAUAAUAUCUCUCAAAGUGUCUUAAUUUAGGGCAUUACAGAAAGGUCUCACUGACAUGAAUGCACUCAUUUGAGUUACCUGACCCACGGCGUAUGCUGAAAUGAUCAACUUCGCCUUGGCCUCUAUGGAUUACGUCUGUAGUAACGGUUGUCAGCCACAACGUUCGAACGAUGGUACAUGCUACAAAGCUUUUACACUCUGGUCUUCUAUCUGCGUUGCAAGCUGAUGGUGUUCUACUAUUUUUUUGGUAUUUUUGGGAUCACGACAGUAAUGACGGCUGUACAGGUAAUUUUAUUUCGAAUAUGUUGUCAAUGGUAGGCGUAGAUUUGCCUUAGUCGUCAUUUGACCAUAACGCUCGUAAAAGGCGCACUAACAUCUAAAGAAUUUGAGCCAUGAUGUCGACUAGGAAAGUCAUUUAUACCUUUGUUUCUUUUAACUGGAGGAAAUUGCAGCGAAGGAGGAUAUCUUCAACCUUGUUCAAUUCAUAUGAGGUAUUUAAGCAACAAGACAUGCUGAAAAAGUCAACUUUGCCUUGAGAUCCAGCGAGGACUACUUCAAAACUAGAAUUUUUCAUCCAAGAAAAAGUGGCACUGCUGUGGAUAUACUGGGGUAUCUUGGUCAUUGGAUGGUGGUGAAAACACUGACCAAAUAGGUGUCUUCAUACGUGCAUCCUACAUCUAGAUCGAGAGGAAGUAUAACGGAUAUUCUUAAAUUAGCCGGUGAUGACGCAACGUCUAUAGUGAGGAUCUACAUCCAUGGCUUUCAAGCAACGGGGCAAGCUAAGAUGGACUUUCUAAUCUUCAUUUUUUUGGACAAUGCAACUUUCCUGGGCGUUGGUAACUAGGAAGUUUUAGCAAUAGUUAAUACUAGAUGAGCCUUUUUUAUCUUGGACUUGGCUGAAUAGUAAUGCUAAAAAUGGGCGUACUUACAUGGUUUCCUAGCGAUGGAUCAUACUGGAAAUACUGAAAGGGUGUCUUCUACUCUGAUUUUAAUCAACGAUAACAUUAGCACUGAGUGUAUAAAUCCAAGGAAUCUAAGCAACAGAAAAUUGAGCAAGUCUACUUUACUGUGGAAUAAGUCUACUUUAAUAUCUCAACCCAUUCAAAGUAA